UCUUUUUAAACGCUUAAUCAUCCUAUUUUUUUAUUCAAUAUAAGCCACCCAACAUUGUGGAAAACAUAUUGGAUGCACAGUUAACUGAAAUCAGCUAGGAUGCAUAUUUGUGAAAUAUUCAGCAGCAUCUGGGAUUUCAUCAUGAGCAUAUUUGAUAGAAUACUACACAUUGUGGGUCUCAAGAGCAACUAGAAGACGCAUAAUGUGAUUGUUCCUGGAAUAUUAGUGGUGUAAAGGUAGUAUUCCAAUGUAAAUAGGUGGGUAUCAAAUCAAAAUAAUAAUCAUAAAUAAAUAAUCUUCUGUAAAAUGAGAA